AACGAACGCUGGCGGCAUGCCUAACACAUGCAAGUCGAACGAGACCUUCGGGUCUAGUGGCGCACGGGUGCGUAACGCGUGGGAACCUGCCCUUAGGUUCGGAAUAACUCCCCGAAAGGGGUGCUAAUACCGGAUAAUGUCUUCGGACCAAAGAUUUAUCGCCUUUGGAUGGGCCCGCGUUGGGUUAGCUAGUUGGUAGGGUAAAAGCCUACCAAGGCGACGAUCCAUAGCUGGUCUGAGAGGAUGAUCAGCCACACUGGGACUGAGACACGGCCCAGACUCCUACGGGAGGCAGCAGUGGGGAAUAGUGGACAAUGGGCGAAAGCCUGAUCCAGCAAUGCCGCGUGAGUGAUGAAGGCCUUAGGGUUGUAAAGCUCUUUUACCCGGGAUGAUAAUGACAGUACCGGGAGAAUAAGCUCCGGCUAACUCCGUG
rnacentral:rRNA from 1 species